UGUUGUUAGGGAAGAACAAGUACCGUUCGAAUAGGGCGGUACCUUGACGGUACCUAACCAGAAAGCCACGGCUAACUACGUGCCAGCAGCCGCGGUAAUACGUAGGUGGCAAGCGUUAUCCGGAAUUAUUGGGCGUAAAGCGCGCGCAGGCGGUCCUUUAAGUCUGAUGUGAAAGCCCACGGCUCAACCGUGGAGGGUCAUUGGAAACUGGGGGACUUGAGUGCAGAAGAGGAGAGCGGAAUUCCACGUGUAGCGGUGAAAUGCGUAGAGAUGUGGAGGAACACCAGUGGCGAAGGCGGCUCUCUGGUCUGUAACUGACGCUGAGGCGCGAAAGCGUGGGGAGCGAACAGGAUUAGAUACCCUGGUAGUCCACGCCGUAAACGAUGAGUGCUAAGUGUUAGAGGGUUUCCGCCCUUUAGUGCUGCAGCAAACGCAUUAAGCACUCCGCCUGGGGAGUACGGUCGCAAGACUGAAACUCAAAGGAAUUGACGGGGGCCCGCACAAGCGGUGGAGCAUGUGGUUUAAUUCGAAGCAACGCGAAGAACCUUACCAGGUCUUGACAUCCUUAGGCCAUCUCUAGAGAUAGAGCUUUCCCUUCGGGGACCACAGUGACAGGUGGUGCAUGGUUGUCGUCAGCUCGUGUCGUGAGAUGUUGGGUUAAGUCCCGCAACGAGCGCAACCCUUGAUCUUAGUUGCCAGCAUUCAGUUGGGCACUCUAA
rnacentral:rRNA from 1 species